GUAUGCAAAUGGAAUAUAAAAGUAUAUUCACAUCGAACGUGAUCAUGUGUCGAGCACUUUGCUGUCAAGAGUAGCUCGUGAAGGGUAUGGGUAUAAGUGUCCCUCCGAUCUGAGACCACCAUGGUGACUUGUAAGCAACUCACUAUAUUUUAGUAUCAAACUAUCUAAGUUUCUAACUUAGUGAUGAAAAGAUACUGGGUGCACCUAAAUACUUAUCAAGUCGGUGUGUGAGUCAAGAUGGAAUUGAUCCUUCUGAAUUGGUAGGAGAUAUACAUCAAUGUAUUUCAAUUUAGCAAAAUCAUAGCCAGGAUAAUCCAUGAGAUAGAUUUGAAAGGU
rnacentral:lncRNA from 1 species